GCCAGACUCCUACGGGAGGCAGCAGUGGGGAAUAUUGCACAAUGGGGGAAACCCUGAUGCAGCAACGCCGCGUGAGUGAAGAAGUAUUUCGGUAUGUAAAGCUCUAUCAGCAGGGAAGAGAAUGACGGUACCUGACUAAGAAGCCCCGGCUAACUACGUGCCAGCAGCCGCGGUAAUACGUAGGGGGCAAGCGUUAUCCGGAUUUACUGGGUGUAAAGGGGGCGCAGACGGCAGCGCAAGCCAGGAGUGAAAGCCCGGGGCCCAACCCCGGGACUGCUCUUGGAACUGCGCGGCUGGAGUGCAGGAGGGGCAGGCGGAAUUCCUGGUGUAGCGGUGAAAUGCGUAGAUAUCAGGAGGAACACCGGUGGCGAAGGCGGCCUGCUGGACUGCGACUGACGUUGAGGCCCGAAAGCGUGGGGAGCAAACAGGAUUAGAUACCCCUGUACU
rnacentral:rRNA from 1 species